rnacentral:rRNA from 1 species
GUGGGGAAUCUUCCGCAAUGGACGAAAGUCUGACGGAGCAACGCCGCGUGAGUGAUGAAGGUCUUCGGAUUGUAAAGCUCUGUUAAUCGGGACGAAAGAGCCUAGUGUGAAUAAUGCUAGGAAGUGACGGUACCGGAAUAGAAAGCCACGGCUAACUACGUGCCAGCAGCCGCGGUAAUACGUAGGUGGCAAGCGUUGUCCGGAAUUAUUGGGCGUAAAGCGCGCCAAGGCGGAUCUGCCAGUCUGUCUUAAAAGUUCGGGGCUUAACCCCGUGAUGGGAUGGAAACUACAGAUCUAGAGUAUCGGAGAGGAAAGUGGAAUUCCUAGUGUAGCGGUGAAAUGCGUAGAUAUUAGGAAGAACACCAGUGGCGAAGGCGACUUUCUGGACGAAAACUGACGCUGAGGCGCGAAAGCCAGGGGAGCGAACGGGAUUAGAAACCCGAGUAGUCC